UACGUAGGGUGCGAGCGUUGUCCGGAAUUACUGGGCGUAAAGAGCUCGUAGGUGGUUUGUCGCGUUGUUCGUGAAAACUCACAGCUUAACUGUGGGCGUGCGGGCGAUACGGGCAGACUGGAGUACUGCAGGGGAGACUGGAAUUCCUGGUGUAGCGGUGGAAUGCGCAGAUAUCAGGAAGAACACCCGUGGCUAAGGCGGCUCUCUAGUACGGUACUGACGCUGAGACGCGAAAGCGUGGGGAGCGAACAGG
rnacentral:rRNA from 1 species